GGGCUUGACAUCCCACGAACCUGCCCGAAAGGGUUGGGUGCCCGCAGGGGAGCGUGGAGACAGGUGGUGCAUGGCUGUCGUCAGCUCGUGUCGUGAGAUGUUGGGUUAAGUCCCGCAACGAGCGCAACCCUCACCCCUUGUUGCCACCGGGUAAAGCCGAGCACUCUAGGGGAACUGCUAGCGUCAAGCUGGAGGAAGGUGGGGAUGACGUCAAGUCAUCAUGCCCCUUACGCCCUGGGCUACACACGUGCUACAAUGGCCGGUACAAAGGGAUGCGAGACCGUGGGGUGGAGCUAACCCCAAAAAACCGGUCUAAGUUCAGAUUGCAGUCUGCAACUCGACUGCAUGAAGGAGGAAUCGCUAGUAAUCGCGCAUCAGCACGGCGCGGUGAAUACGUUCCCGGGCCUUGUACACACCGCCCGUCACACCACGAAAGCCGGCUGUACUCGAAGUCGCUGAGA
rnacentral:rRNA from 1 species